GACAGCAGUCUGCUGGCUAUCUUGAGGCUCCAUUUGCCUACCAAGCAUUGUGUUUUUUAUUUAGAUAUUAUGCAAAAAUCAAUAAAAAUGGAAGCGCUUCCUGUAAAUGCAUAGUUUACAGUUUAGAGUAAAACUGAAACAAAAUGAAGAAAAUGUCAACUCUCUACCCCCAAAGCUGGAACUCCUUUUAUUCUGAUGGCUUGAAGAUGAGAUAGCUUGCUCACCCACGAUAUAAUGAGGACAUCAUGGUUAGUAUGACAUUAAAAACAAUGACAGGCUGGGCAGUGGUGGCACAUGCCUUUAAACUCAGCACUUGGGACAGAGGCAGAGAAUACUGAAGCCUGCGGGAGUUCUGCCAUGGACUCAGCUGUCCACGCUGGGGAGGUGACCUUCAACGCAGACCUGUCCACAGGUAAAUCCGGUGCUCUUCCCUACUCAACUCAGCUGAAACUUAGUUGCUCAAAAGCUGUCCUAAGCUAGGCAUGGUGGUGCAUGCCUAUGAUCCCAGCACUGGGGAGGCAGAGGCAGGAGGAUAGCUUCCAGUUCAGGGUCAGUAUGGGCUAUGUAGUGAAAGCCUAUCUCAAAACAUGCAAAAGCCCUACCUUUCAAACAGCAAAUUUAAAAUUACCUUCUGAGAAGUUAGCCAGAGCUCCUGUGGGGCUAGCAUAGCCUCGACUAGCAGAGCUGUGGUUCUUGGCUUGUGCUCGAUUUAUCCAGUGGUUUUGCUUUGUUUGGGGUCCCCAAUUCAGCUGUGACAUUGCAAACUCUAUAAGUAUACCGCAUCUGAAGCAAGAAGGCAGAAGAUCAAAAUUCCCAGCUCAAUUUGUCAAUCGACUUUCAAGUUAAACCCUUUCCUUCUGCUGUGAUCUGUUGCCCGUAAAAUCAGUUUUCAACAGAUGAACAUUAAGUUGCCCUUGGGACUCUGCUGUGAGAUCUUUCUUCUGUCCCCCUCCUUUGCUUUUUGAUAAAUAA